rnacentral:rRNA from 1 species
UACGUAGGGGGCUAGCGUUGUCCGGAUUUAUUGGGCGUAAAGAGCGUGUAGGCGGCCAGGUAGGUCUGCUGUGAAAACUCGAGGCUCAACCUCGAGACGUCGGCGGAAACCAUCUGGCUAGAGUUCGGCAGGGGAGACUGGAAUUCCUGGUGUAGCGGUGAAAUGCGCAGAUAUCAGGAGGAACACCGGUGGCGAAGGCGGGUCUCUGGGCCGAUACUGACGCUGAGGAGCGAAAGCGUGGGGAGCGAACAGG